rnacentral:lncRNA from 1 species
AGCGUUUAUUAGCGAGUGGGAAACUUCAACAUGGCCGCCAUCUAUUCAAAUGGGGGUAACCGCUGGAAUAUUCUUGGCUUAAAUUUUACUAAAAGAGAUGCGCUAUCUAGUGUAUAUAAGUUAUUUAUGGUAAGGCUCCAUAAGCAAUUCCAGCUUUUAAUUUAUACGCGCAGAGGGGGAUGGGAAGUAAGGUAUCAUAUUACUGAUUAUGCUGAAAAAAUCAAAAUGGCGGCCGUGUAGACACUGAGUG